UGGGCGUUGGUGAAACGGAAUCACCCUAGACUUUUAAUCUAUGAGUUGAGGGUUCAAAUCCCUUGCGCCCUAC
rnacentral:tRNA from 1 species